rnacentral:lncRNA from 1 species
UACGGCGAGGGCUGAUAUGGGUUAGAGCAAUUGUCUCGUAUUGCAUAUACAAAAAAAACGUAUUUAUUAGUAAGUACGUAAUAAAUGCUGAUACCAUGUGUAUUAGAUUUGGAAAAAGUAAUAUUGUCAUACUGCUAAAGGGAUUUAGAGGUAGUUUAUCUGAAGAGAGUGAUAUUAGAUUUAAUGAUAUUAAGAAGCUUGUUUAUAUCAUGAAUUUCUUGAAUGGAUGAUUUCUGUUGCUAAAAUGUAACAUAAAAGAAUUGUAAGUUUGGGUUUAUAUAGACUUGUAUCUGUAUAGAAUCAUGUGAUCUUGUAUUGUUUAGGACAAAAGUCAGCAACCUAUUGCAUUGUAGGUUUUAUUUCAGGCAUAUGUUGUUUCCUACGUAUAAGAAACAUUUAACCAAGCAAAAAAAGCAAGAAAAAGGGGGAAAUGAAGUAUCAACAGAAGUAUGAGGACAAACAUUGAAGUCUUACCAUCAGUCAGGUGUUUACUGAAUACGUCUCAAUUAACAGGUUAUAUACCCACAAUACUUCUAGUAUUUCUGAGGAGUUGCUAAUGUGGUAGACAGUUUAGUCGGUCACCUCCAGUACUUGCAUUAAAACUUGUACAUUUCAUAGGCUAGAAAAUAGGAGAAAUAGUUUACUGGUUGUCAAUAAAGAGUUUAUUAUAGUACUAUUGUGUAAAAAGUAGGCUUUAUGAUAUUUAUUUUACAUUUACUAAUUUUGCUGGCAGACUAUUUAUUUAAUACCUGCAAAGUUAUUAUUAUACAAAUCUUUUUUUUCUUCUAACAAGUUAGGGAGUAUUUUUGUUACAUAUCAACUGUACUGCCACGCCUUUGCACAUGUUAAGAUACCACCUAUAUAUAUAUAUAUCUGUAUAGAAUGUUUAUAUUGGAGUGUAUAUUUCUAUUGCACACAGCUCUAUGUUUCAUAGGCGAUAGAUACAAAUGACAUCGGAAAAUUAUUCAGGUUCCCAGUUAAGGAAUUAACAGAGAAAUUCUACGUUUAAAGGUCAGCUUCGAUUGCAAUAAAACACAAGUACAAUAAUGGAUGCCAGCUGUUUUGCCUUGUGUAAAAGGGAUAUAGCCACUUGAUGAGUAAUUGUAUAAUGUAUCAAAUCUCCAUUGUUUAAAAUAGCUGAUGUGUGUUGAUUGUUACUCCAUAUACAUCAGACUGAUACCUGUAUAUUUUACCCGUUGUGAUUUGCCUGAAAGGCACAAUAGAUCUGAACUGUGCUGUUUAGGUGUCUACUGUACAAAUUUACUGUACACCAAAUAGGCACAGAAAGUUUAAUUCAUGUAUUUGUUUUUCAUAAAUUUGUAUGAAUAUAAAUAGCUAAUUUCUCACUUGCAUGUCCACACCGUUAGGUAGUUUUGUGUGGGCUCACUGGCUCAGCUUGUCUCAGCUUUAUUUAGCUGAAUAUUUAUUACAAUUUCGCUUGUGGUCAAUUCAGUUUAUUAUGCAACACAUUACAUAAUGUGCAAAGAUAUUUUGAUGAAAUAAAAGUAUCAAAAUUGUACAAAGUGUACAAUAUUUUGAGAUUAAGACCUGUGCCAUGCUAACAAAGGUUUCCACUAUUAUUAUAGAAUAUACUUGUAUUGUGUCUACUGUGUUUAUAGCACGUAUUACGAGUAUUAGUAUUGAUACUGAUGUUGCAGGUAGUGUAGUACUAUACUGAUGUUGCAGGAGUGUAGUACUAUACGGAUGUUGCAGGGAGUGUAGUACUAUACUGAUGUUGUAGGGAGUGUAGUACUAUACUGAUGUUGCAGGGAGUGUAGUACUAUACGGAUGUUGCUGGGAGUGUAGUACUAUACUGAUGUUGCAGGGAGUGUAGUACUAUACUGAUGGUGAAGGACACACUGCUUGAGGUGUUGGUCCUGAAGCACUUGUGUAUAAUUACAAAAUUAAUGUCUUAACAAAUCUCACUCUCUUUGUCACUCUUUUCUUCUUCAUCUCUCUGAAAUUUUGAAGACUUUCCAGCAAAAUGGAGUUCCUUUUAAGAUCACAAGGUCCUCCUUCUAACAUGUGAUGAACCUGUGUCAGUAUGCAGAGUAAAUGAAAUUCAGGCAACCAAAUAGGGUACAUGUCUCUGUGUAAGAUGCCUCUGUGAUGUAAACUAAAGGAGGGCCAGAGUUAAACCUGAAGCUGAUCAACUCAAUACAGUAAACUAUCCAUUCUGUAUCUGCCAAAUCAUAUCUGAUCACCAUCAUGUGACUGUCACAUGAUGGUGUUGUAAUACCACUUUCAUUAUAUUACAUGAUUUGUAACAUUCCAACAUAUAUAUAUCUGUAUAUUUCUACAUAAAGAUUAAUAUCU